rnacentral:rRNA from 1 species
AGAGUUUGAUCCUGGCUCAGAGCGAACGCUGGCGGCAGGCCUAACACAUGCAAGUCGAACGAACUCUUCGGAGUUAGUGGCGGACGGGUGAGUAACACGUGGGAACGUGCCUUUAGGUUCGGAAUAACUCAGGGAAACUUGUGCUAAUACCGAAUGUGCCCUUCGGGGGAAAGAUUUAUCGCCUUUAGAGCGGCCCGCGUCUGAUUAGCUAGUUGGUGAGGUAAAGGCUCACCAAGGCGACGAUCAGUAGCUGGUCUGAGAGGAUGAUCAGCCACAUUGGGACUGAGACACGGCCCAAACUCCUACGGGAGGCAGCAGUGGGGAAUCUUGCGCAAUGGGCGAAAGCCUGACGCAGCCAUGCCGCGUGAAUGAUGAAGGUCUUAGGAUUGUAAAAUUCUUUCACCGGGGACGAUAAUGACGGUACCAGGAGAAGAAGCCCCGGCUAACUUCGUGCCAGCAGCCGCGGUAAUUC